rnacentral:rRNA from 1 species
UACAGGGGGCUCGGGCGUUAGUCGGAAUCACUGGGCUUAAAGGGUGCGUAGGCGGCCCGCCAAGUGCUUUGUGAAAUCCCACAGCUCAACUGUGGAACAGCAGGGCAAACUGGCGGGCUUGAAGCAGGUAGGGGCUGGAAGAACAGUAGGUGGAGCGGUGAAAUGCGUAGAUAUCUACUGGAAUGCCGAUGGGGAAGCCGUCCAGCUGGGCCUGUCUUGACGCUGAGGCACGAAAGCGUGGGGAGCAAACAGG